rnacentral:lncRNA from 1 species
CCCUACAUCCACGCCCUCUGAGACCCCUUCAGCAGCAGUGUCACCCUGCUGGACCCCUUUGCCCCGCUCUUCCCCCCACAUCCCAGCCCUGUAUUUGCUGAAGAUGGACGAGGAGCGGGGACGACGACGACGAUCACUGCUGGGCCUCCUGCAACAGCUGGCCAGCCCAGAUGCUGCGCCCGUGCUUCCUGAGGGUGGCACCUCCGUGUGUUCAGCUGGUUCAGCAGCUGUCUGGAUGGUGAGGAGGUAGCACCUACCUGCCCGGCAUCUGUGAGAGGGCCAAACUACUGGUGCUGGUAUGCUUUCAUAAUCAUCAUCAUUGUUUAUUCUCAUACACUGUGUCCAUCUUUGCCUCAUGAUGACAAGGGAAGGAAAUAUACGGAGCCAUAUAUAUCGCUCUGAAAAUGUGUAGAAU